rnacentral:rRNA from 1 species
GACGAACGCUGGCGGCGUGCUUAACACAUGCAAGUCGAACGGAAAGGCCUGCUUUCCCUUGUGGAUUGCGGGUACUCGAGUGGCGAACGGGUGAGUAACACGUGAGUGAUCUGCCCCCAACUUGGGUAUAAGCCUGGGAAACUGGGUCUAAUUCCCGAUAGGACUGCAGGGUGGUGCCUGUGGUGGAAAACGAUUUUCUAGUGGUUGGGGAUGAGCUCGCGGCCUAUCAGCUUGUUGGUGGGGUAAUGGCCUACCAAGGCGGCGACGGGUAGCCGGCCUGGGAGGGUGGACGGCCACAUUGGGACUGAGAUACGGCCCAGACUCCUACGGGAGGCAGCAGUGGGGAAUAUUGCACAAUGGGCGGAAGCCUGAUGCAGCGACGCCGCGUGGGGGAUGACGGCCUUCGGGUGGUAAACUCCUUUCGACCGCGAGGAAGCCACCUGGUUGGAAGGGUGGUGACGGUAGUGGUAGAAGAAGCACCGGCUAUCUACGUG